AAGAGGUCAGGAACUUGUCUCUGGUUCACUGUUGGAGUCCUAGCACCUCAGAACCAUGCCUGGUUAAUCAGACCUGCAUCAGGUUUUCCAGAAUGUGGUUUUGUUCCAGAGGGAAUGACUGGGUUCCCUGUCAAUGAAUUCUGGCAAGGAGGGGGACGAGAUCUUGAGAGAAUAAAUAUACCGAGACUCGGUGACAUGAAUGACUAUUGAACUGCAACUGGCUGAGAACUUCUGCAACAAGGAAAAGAAUAUGUAUUGGAAGCCAAAAACAAAAAGAGAUUUUUUUUUAAUCCAUUGGAAGUCACAAUUAAAAUUACGAUCGUGAGGAUUAUA